rnacentral:tRNA from 1 species
GAGGGGAUAGCUCAAUGGUAGAACACCUGCCUAUCAUGCACAAGGCCCUGGGUUCAGUCCCUAGUACCUCCA